UGGCCCAGUUGGUAAAGCAUGGCGCUUGCAAUGCUAAGGGUGUGGGUUUGAUUCCCAC
rfam:Salmo salar isolate Sally breed double haploid chromosome ssa14, whole genome shotgun sequence.